rnacentral:piRNA from 1 species
UUUUAUUGACGUUUCCUGACU